GACUUUUGUCUGCAGCAAACAAGUCCCAACGCAUCUGAGAGACUCCAUUCGCGACUCUGGAAGAUUUUGGCUCGUUUAGAGGUGCAAGCUUAUGCUAUUUUCGUGCUCCUAGACUCUAGUCCUGACGCUGAUUCGCUAAGCUUGGAUUGACAAUCAUGGAAGCGAAGAAUGUGACAGAUGAGACAUGGAGGAGGAGAGAGAGAGAGAUUGUAACAAGCGUGAUGAGGAUAGUGAGCAAGAGAUUGACCUCAGAAGGAUCUAAUAUCUCUCCUUCUCGGAGCUAUAACUAGCAUCUGUCCCAAGCUAAAAGUUAUAUCUAUCUACUGGAACGUUAGGUGACUGAUGAUCGCAUUAGACAUCUAGUGAAGAAUUACAGAAACAUCAUUGAUCUGAACCUAAGUGGCUGCAAAAGGUAUCUUGAUUCGAUUUCCUCAGGCUUGUUUGGGAUAGUUGGAGUAACUGAUAAAUGUCUGGAGACUCUCUCCAAAACCUGCUCUGCUACACUCACCACUCUUGAUGUCUGCAUCGGUGUUAAGUUGUUAUACAGAGGCGAAGCCGUGAAGAACUGCUUCAGAUGUUCCCUCGUCUGACAUGCUUCAAAGUACACAGCUAAUUUGCUCUUAACUUCAGGACUCUCACCAACGUUUAGCCCCCAUACUAAAGG